rnacentral:tRNA from 1 species
GCCCUGGUGGUGAAAUCGGUAGACACAAGGGAUUUAAAAUCCCUCGACUUUCGAGUCGUGCUGGUUCAAGUCCGGCCCGGGGCACCA